UACCAAAUGUCCACGGAAACAUUCGGUUUGCUGGACGUUUGCUGCUGAACUGUCAAAUCCCUGUCAGUGUCUCUUCCUCAUGGAGCGAGUGUUCUUUUUUCACUUCUGGGCUCCCUGUGUUGCUGCAGUGACUUAGAACAACUUGGGUUGAUAUUGAAGAACCUGGAUGAGAAAAGGUGGGGUCUUUGGCAUGCUGGAAAUAAACAGGAAUCAUCAACAACCUCUCCUGAAAAUGGCAAAAAACGUUCUCAGAACACAUUAAUUCCAAUCAUCCGGAGACAUAUUAGAAGAGGGUCAUCGGUCCUUAGUGAUAAGUGACGUGCUUAUGUCAGGGCUAUUAGCUUACGGGGGUACAGACAUUAUUCUGUCAAUCACAAGGAAAACUUUGUUGAUCCACAGACAGGAAGUCACACUCAACAUAAUGACCGAGCGUGGCAAACAAUUAAUACACAAGUGUGAAGGUUAAGAGUUAAUGGUACUACAAAUCUGUUAAAGGAACACCUUGCAUUCACGGAAUGGACUUGCUGGUUAGGAAAGAAAAACCAGACAGGGAUUCUUUCGCAGCUUUUAUAUGACAUUCAGUCAGUUUAUAGUGCAUUAAGAAAAAAUGUUCAUUAAAGUCAAUCUGACAAUAAUUAUUGUGUUAUCCAUGCAUGCAUUUUAGGGUUGAGGGUAAACAUUCCUAUACUGUGUUAUAAAAUAUGGAGUAUGGCCCAACCUUUGCUGAACAUAUGGAAGUUUGUAUUUAUAUAUCUUCAUUAUGUAUAAUAUAAAAUAUUGAAAAAUGUAAGCCAAUAUGUAGUAUUUAUAAGCAUUUUUGCAUUAAAACCUGAAAACUUUUACAUUUAAUUUCUGUCAUUGUUAAUUUUAAAUUAAUUAUGUAGAUAUAAUAGUGUCUCAAUGUGGUAGUAUAAGUAACUUAUUUAUUUUUAAUGAAAUUUAAUGUGAUUGCAGUUCUGUAUUUAGGUAACAAUAAAAAUAUUUUUUAAAACAA